UCCCACCUGAUCCCAUGCCGAACUCAGAAGUGAAACGCCGUAGCGCCGAUGGUAGUGUGGGGUCUCCCCAUGCGAGAGUAGGACACUGCCAGGC
rnacentral:rRNA from 1 species